rnacentral:misc_RNA from 1 species
GAUGAAGAACGCAGCGAAAUGCGAUAAGUAAUGUGAAUUGCAGAAUUCAGUGAAUCAUCGAAUCUUUGAACGCACCUUGCGCCCUUUGGCUAUUCCGAAGGGCAUGCCUGUUUGAGUAUCGUGAACACCUCAACUCUCAUGGUUUGCCAUGAUGAGCUUGGACUUGGGGGUUUUGCUGGCCUUCGGUCGGCUCCUCUCAAACGGAUCAGCUUUCCAGUGUCUGGUGGCGUCACGGGUGUGAUAACUAUCUACGCCUGUGGUUUUCUGCCAGAUAGCCUUCAGCGAUGGAGGUUCGCUGGGGCUCAUAAAUGUCUCUCUUCAGUGGAGACAGCUUUUUGGACGUUUGAUCUCAAAUCAGGUAGGACUACCCGCUGAACUUAAGCAUAUCAAUAAGCGGAGGA